rnacentral:rRNA from 1 species
AACGAACGCUGGCGGCAUGCCUAACACAUGCAAGUCGAACGAGACCUUCGUGUCUAGUGGCGCACGGGUGCGUAACGCGUGGGAACCUGCCCUUAGGUUCGGAAUAACUCCCCUAAAGGGGUGCUAAUACCGGAUAAUGUCUUCGGACCAAAGAUUUAUCGCCUUUGGAUGGGCCCGCGUUGGAUUAGCUAGUUGGUAGGGUAAAAGCCUACCAAGGCGACGAUCCAUAGCUGGUCUGAGAGGAUGAUCAGCCACACUGGGACUGAGACACGGCCCAGACUCCUACGGGAGGCAGCAGUGGGGAAUAUUGGAAAAUGGGCGAAAGCCUGAUCCAGCAAUGCCGCGUGAGUGAUGAAGGCCUUAGGGUUGUAAAGCUCUUUUACCCGGGAUGAUAAUGACAGUACCGGGAGAAUAAGCUCCGGCUAACUCCGUG